rnacentral:rRNA from 1 species
UAUGUGAUCGUCUCUCGCAUAUCAAUAAGCGGAGGAAAAGAAACUAACAAGGAUUCCCCUAGUAACGGCGAGUGAAGCGGGAAGAGCUCAAAUUUGAAAUCUUAAAGGGUUUCCCUUUACGAAUUGUAGUUUAAAGAAGUGUUUUCUGUUGAGGUUUUGGUAAAAGUUCUUUGGAAUAGGACAUCAUAGAGGGUGAGAAUCCCGUAUUUGACCUUUACUUUCAACUUUGUGAUACACUUUCAAAGAGUCGGAUUGUUUGGGAACUGCAGUCCAAAAUGGGUGGUAAAUUUCAUCUAAAGCUAAAUAUUGGCGAGAGACCGAUAGCGAACAAGUACCGUGAGGGAAAGAUGAAAAGAACUUUGAAAAGAGAGUUAAACAGUACGUGAAAUUGUCAAAAGGGAAGCGUUUGACACCAGUGUUGUUUUUCUGAAAAUCAAUUAAAGAACUGUUUAUGCUAAGCUGUUUAGACUUUAUCAGCUAACUGUUUAGUUUUGAGCUUUUCUUUAAUGCACUUUUCAGUUAACAAGUCAACAUCAAUUUCUUUUGCUGUAAAAAAGCUUGAGGAAGGUGGCUUGAGAUUCGUCUUAAGUGUUUAUAGCCUCUUGCCUAUGCAGUCGGAGAGAUUGAGGUCUGCAGCGUAGAUCCUUCGGGGCUAAAUGCAUUUGUGCUAAGUUAUAGCAUUUUAUAGACAACUUGUUGACUAUGAUUUGUCUUGUAGCUUACUCGCUUAUGUUAUUUUACCUACGCUUAGGAUGUUGAAGACUCUACAGAGAUA